AGAGAGAGAGAGAGAAUCUCAAGGAGCUCGAUGCUCAGCAUGGAGCCUGACGCAAGCCUUGAUGUGGGGCUUGAUCCCAUGACCCAAGGAUCACACAACCUGAACCGAAAUCAAGAGUCAGACGCUCAAUGGACUGAGCUACCCAGCUGCCCCUGAAGGAGGCUUUUAUAACGGCCCAUGCAAGACAUGAUUGCAACUCGGACCAGGGUGGAAUACGUGUGAGUGGCAAGAAGCACACCAUUCCAGAAGCUAGCAGAAAAAGCAUCGAGAUGAUUAUGGUCUUUAGCAGCAGGAUGGCGUUGCCACGAGUGAUGUGAAAUGAUGUAAACCACUCCUGGGAGGGCUGCUGUGUUUUAAACCUCACUUCAGCUUUUCCUCACCUCCGUCUGGUGAUGAACAGCAGACAGGAGAGAAGGCUUCGUGGGAGCUUGCGCAACAUGUGUGACAAUGGAUCAAUGGCCACAAAAGUCCCGCCAGCCUAAGCGGUAGCUCCUAAAGCGGUGGUUCACAAAAACACAUUCCUUCUGUGGUCAACGGGGGAGCGACGAAAAAGAGUUCCACGCUCAUCUCUCUGAGUUUAGGAAAUUCUGGGCUCACUGAAGUUAAAUAGGUCUCCCUCCUACAGAAUUUCUCGGAGUCUCUAGCAUGAAGAUAUGCAUGGAGAGCCUGCCUGAGGGGUUCCACAGAAUUCUGGGUCUCUCUCCAGGGUACCUUCCCCCGACCCUACCCCAGUAUCCUCUUGGCGUCUCCCGGAUGUUCUGUGCAACACAGUUUACUUAUUUAUUAUUUUUAAUAUGAAAUUUAUUGUCAAAUUGGUUUCCAUACAACACCCAGUGCUCAUCCCAACAGGUGCCCUCCUCGAUACCCAUCACCAACCCUCCCCUCCUUCCGACCCCCCAUCAACCCUCAGUUUGUUCCCAGUUUCUAAGAGUUUCUUAUGGUUUGGCUCCCUCCCUCUCUAAUUUUUUUUUUGUUGUUCUUCCUUCCCUUCCCCCAUGGUCUUGUGCAACACAGUUUCGAAGAAUAUUCAUGGACACUCCUCUUCUCAAAAUCAAUGGUUUCUUAUCAUCACAAGUACCUAAAAUGUGUAUUUAAACAACGCUUCACCUUGGGGAGAGAUGACUACGUUUUGAGGUAGCCUCGCACGACGAGCUUGACUUGAUUCCAUCAGGUAAGGCGGAAUGCACCCAGGGAGGGGCGCAUUCACCCCCCACUCCUGUCCCCGGGACCCCCUGCAACAAUUCCUCCAGGGUGUGUGGAUGGGAAGGAAGGGGAGUGGGCCAAGUAGAAGCCGAGCCUUCAGAUGUGCUUCUCUGACACCGGGCUUGAGGACACCUGAGCAGGUGUUUCUUGGGUAUUACCCGUGCAGCUGGGGAACAAGGCCAUCGGUCAUUCGGUGAAUAAGGCCAUCGCUAUUUGCGACAUCAAAUCAAGAAGUCUCCAACCAACAGAGCAUCAGCCAAAGCGGUGGGCGUUUUAUGAGGCGGCGAUCCAACUUCUGGGACCCGGAGGACAGCUGCCGUAUUUUGGUGCGCAUCCAUUGAGACCAACUAGUCUAUUGUUUUUUUAAAGGAAGCUCGAGGUCAAACCUCAGCGGGACCCGCCAACUGCUCUCCCCCGUUCCACAUUGAUCUCCAAAUGCCUGGCUCACAAGCCUUCCAUGGUGGAAACUGGAAACUCCCGUCAUGCUUAGCAUUGCAUUUAAGAGUUUCUCAAGCUUGUGCACACAUGCCCUGAGCAGGGGGUGUGUGCAAGGUCACAGGACAAACAUCUACCCAUUUUAUUUGUAGAUUAAAAACAUUAUUUUUAUAUUUUAUGAUUAUAUUUAUACUAACAUGUGACCUAGAAUGAAAAGCUCAUGAGUUUUCCCCUUUUUUAAACAUAUUUAUUAUUUUAUUUUAUUUUAUUUUUUUGAGAGAGAGAGGGAGCCAGUGAGCAGGGGAGGGGAAGAUUGAGAGGGAGAGAGAGAAUCCCAAGCAGGUGCUACGCCCAUCGUGAGAUUGUGACCUGAGCGGAAAUCAAGAGUCGGAUGCUUAACCAACUGAGCCACCCAGGUGCCCCUCAGUAUUAAAUAUGAGCGCUCGGUGAAAUUCUGUGGUUCUUUUGUGGGCUUUCUCUCUGAAAUGGGAAUGGGGUAAAGAGUUGGGUAUCAUCUACUACUCAGAGCUCUUGGAUGAAAAAUGUUGGUAUUUUUACAUCUAGCCCAACACUCAUUUUGUAACUGAAGAAACCGAGACCCAGAAAGAUCAAAUAUGUCCUAAUCCCAUGCCUGGCAGGCAAUGUUAGCUGCCUACCCAAUAUUCAUUCCGUUCCUCUAAUGGCCCCUCCCCUCCUCCCAUCACCCUCCCCCCCCCUCCCUUUUCAAACUACAUAAAUCCUAGUUAUAUUCUGGGCAGUAGCUAAAAAUACUUGUUUUCUCAGAAUUCCUUGUUGUUAGGAACAGCCAUUCAAUACAGUUCUGUCCAGUGGCCCAGCCCCGGAUCCCUCGCUUCCCAUGGGUUUCUGGAUUUUCUUAUACCUAGAGAGAUGUGAGGAAGCUCUGUACUCUCCCCCUGGGGGCCACCUUUUUAUUUCUUUCUAUUACUCUGAGCUGUGAAUAUUUUUAACCCUAUCAAUAUGGCCAGCUCUUCUGACACAGAGACAGUGUUAGAAUUGUCAACCAUCAGUCCCCAUCCCCGUGGGAUGAUUCUUCACAGGUGGUUUCCAGACUUAGGCUCUGAUGAGCCAAAUAAAAAUGUUUUGUUUGGUUAAAAAGAUUUUUUUUUUUUGAGAGUUUCUAAAAAGAUUUAUUUUCCUGAUUCUGGCGUCUCCUUCCUUUUUUGUUCUUCCUUCAUGAUUCUGGCCAAAAACAUGGGUGUGAGGUCUGGAGGUGCUGCAGCCAUGUUGUGCUAAGAGGCAACAAGCUUAAGGGUGAAUUAUCAACAUGCUGGGGAUGGCGAAAGAGGAAGUUAGGAUGACACUUGGUCUCCAAAGAUUUGUUGAGCAGGUGCUCCAACCUGGACUGCCCAGGCUCAGACUCUGUGAUAUGUGAGCACCAUCAGCACUCGUUUUUGAGUUUUUGAAGGCCCUUUAAUUAGGUUUCCAUUAAGAAGCAAGUGAAUUUCCGACCAAUAUGCCCAGCCAGCUUGUUUAGACCCGUAGGAUUUCGGUGUCUUAAAAAAGGUAUCUAGCCAUGUAAACAUACAGGAAUUUGUUUAGAAAAGUUUCUGGUUUGUAAGACGUUCAAAGAAUUAGUGGCAUGGGCCAAUCCUGGUACGGAUUCCUAAACGACAGACCCUUUAAUUCAUAGGCGUUAUAAUCGUGAUUCAGUAUUGCUUCCCAGAAAAUUAUUAGCAAUUUUGAGAGGCUGUGAUGUCUGCGUGGCCUCCUAAAUUGCGCCCAUUCUACCGUCUAGCCUCAGCCACGAGAAAUUCCAGAGAAACUGAAGGGGUACCAUUCACAACCGCUGAGGUCCCUGGGGUAGGGGAGGAGGCGGCUAUGACGGAGAGUAAAUCCCUACUCCCCUGCAGACAGAAGGCCGAGUGGAAGUCCUCUGGUUUGACGCAAAGGGCUAGUCACCAUCCAGUAUGAAGGUCCCGCCUCUUCCCUCCCAGACAAAUAGCCAGGGGAGAUCUUGGUAAAAGGUAGCCAGCCCAGGGAGGCCAAAGGAGAGCAGAAGGAGAGGGGCCCUUCCCACCGGUCGGUCUAUGGGACUCUGCAACAUAAUUGCAGCCUGCGGCAACAUCCAGAGGUCAUGGCCUUAAAGAAACAGGAUCAUGCGUCAGGGCAGGGAGAGCUAGGGCGCAUGCUCAUUUGUGGGUGGAAGGAAACUGAAUGUUGAGAGCCAGGGGAAGCCUGCCGAACAGCUGUAGUGGCAAGGUAUGAGGUGACCCCGUAGCAGAGACUGUGGGUGGUGGCCUGAGCCGGGGCUCACCAGGGUAUAUGGCUGAGGGGGUAGAAAUGGGGGUAGGUGAGUGAGAGGGACCCGCCGGGUGCAAACUGCGUGAGGGGCUGGCCCCGGCCUCUCCCCUGCAGACCUGAGCAGCUAGCGGGAUGCCCAGGGACGGAGCCCGAGGAAUGUUCCCGAGGAGGCCUCGGUUCAUACCUGCGGGUCCGAGGCCGGUCCUCACCGAGUUUUCACUCCUGACGCACAGCCUUUGAUAAUCGGGGACUCUGGUGCCAAAAAUAAAAUGGAAAGAUAAGGAGGCAGGCAGGGAGAGUGAGAUUCCUUUCCCCAGCAGUAGGGCAGAGAGGGAAGCCUGAUUCCAAAUGGCGGACCCAGAAGAGACCAACCCCAGAGGCUCACGGUGGGAGAGCGUGGCUGGAACUCUCUGGCCCGGCCCUCUCUUUUCCAAACAUACAAAAGUCAGUCCUGUGCUCACUGAAGGGCCUGGAGGGUCAAGGGUCAGGAUAUCCUGCGCCCUGCUGGGCUUCGAGGGUCUUAAUCUGUCUUGGGCAGGCAGAGGUGGGAGAGGAGGGAGCCAGGGGUUCCACGGCUGGUUGGGAGCCUCUGCCGGGCUCCUCCUCUCUUUGCAUUUCGUUUUCAACACAUGCUCACAGCCAGAGCUUCUGCAGUCCCAGCCCCAAGCCCGGCGUCACCAUGGUAACAAUCCUUGCCUCCUGUCACUUGCGGCGUAUUCUUUUUCAAAGGGCCCCUGUGCCUUAUUUAUCCGCUUCAUCUAUUGUGUACCGUCUCCUUCCUGCGUGCCCCAGCUUUGUGCCUCUCACACCUCCGUUCCGAUUCCGAUUCUAGCACCUUCUUGUUGCCUGUACAAGGGGCCCACACCCGUCCCGGUAAAAACCAAAGACACAGGACAAAAGCCAGGCGCUGACGGAGUUCAGGGUCCGCCCGCCUGGGAAGGAGGGGAAGGCGGGGCCGUGGAGGAGCACCGAGCAGGGUGUGGCCUGGUCGGGGUCACCCCGGAGCGGAGCAGGUGGGGGGACUCUUUAGAAUGCCACCAACACCCGCUCCAGCUAACAGAAGAGGCGGGCUGGCUCGCGCCCCCCCCCGCGUGUGACCGUUGCAUCGGGUGGCUCAGCGGUUAGGACUGCGUUUGGUGACAGUUGACGGAAGACUCAAAUGGACUGUGAACCUUCUCAAAUGGAAGUUGAUUCUCCUCUCACGGAGGUUCAGGGGCGGAUGGGGCCAGGCCGCUGUGGGGCACCGACCUCAGGGCCGAGGCACCUCCCGCCUUCAGCGCCGCGCCUCCCACUGUGGGCACCCAUUCUUCAGGUCACCUCGUGGCCCAGGUGGGCUGCUGGACCGCCGGUGCUCUCAUGCACCUUCCGAGGAGAAGGGAGAGGGAGUCAGAGCAAAGGAGUUCUGCUCCGUGGUCUGUCUGUCUUUCAAGGAACCUCCCCAGGUGCCCUUCUCAACACAAUUCUAUUUAUGUCUCGGCUCCAAGAGCUUAGUCCCUCGGCCCUAGCACACCAUGGUGCUUGUGGUCUGAGGGAGCCCUGGUGGUCUCGUCCUUGCGGAUCUGACGAGGUGGGGGUUUGCAGGGGACAGUCAUUCCUCUCUGCGCCGAUGGGGAAGGUGGGGAGGAGGCAUUUCCAAAGAGCUUCUACUUUACGUGCUUCUGAGGCUUGUCCUCCCAGCGAUGGGCGUCUCGACGUUUCCACCUGGAAUUGGGGAGGCGGUGGAA